rnacentral:rRNA from 1 species
AAUAGAUACCCGGGUAGUCCAUGCCGUAAACGUUGGGCGCUAGAUGUGGGGACCAUUCCACGGUUUCCGUGUCGCAGCUAACGCAUUAAGCGCCCCGCCUGGGGAGUACGGCCGCAAGGCUAAAACUCAAAGGAAUUGACGGGGGCCCGCACAAGCGGCGGAGCAUGCGGAUUAAUUCGAUGCAACGCGAAGAACCUUACCAAGGCUUGACAUAUACGAGAACGCUCUAGAAAUAGAGAACUCUUUGGACACUCGUAUACAGGUGGUGCAUGGUUGUCGUCAGCUCGUGUCGUGAGAUGUUGGGUUAAGUCCCGCAACGAGCGCAACCCUCGUUCUAUGUUGCCAGCGGUUCGGCCGGGAACUCAUAGGAGACUGCCGGGGUCAACUCGGAGGAAGGUGGGGAUGACGUCAAAUCAUCAUGCCCCUUAUGUCUUGGGUCUUCACGCAUGCUACAAUGGCCGGUACAAAGGGCUGCAAUACCGUAAGGUGGAGCGAAUACCCAAAACGCCGGUCUCAGUUCGGAUUGAGGU